UACGACGGGGGCUAGCGUUGCUCGGAAUCACUGGGCGUAAAGGGUGCGUAGGCGGGUCUUUAAGUCAGAGGUGAAAUCCUGGAGCUCAACUCCAGAACUGCCUUUGAUACUGAAGAUCUUGAGUUCGGGAGAGGUGAGUGGAACUGCGAGUGUAGAGGUGAAAUUCGUAGAUAUUCGCAAGAACACCAGUGGCGAAGGCGGCUCACUGGCCCGAUACUGACGCUGAGGCACGAAAGCGUGGGGAGCAAACAGG
rnacentral:rRNA from 1 species